AACGUACCCAGAAGUGGGGGAUAACGUAGCGAAAGUUACGCUAAUACCGCAUACGUUCUACGGAAGAAAGUGGGGGACCUUCGGGCCUCAUGCUUUUGGAGCGGCCGAUGUCUGAUUAGCUAGUUGGUGAGGUAAAGGCUCACCAAGGCGACGAUCAGUAGCUGGUCUGAGAGGACGACCAGCCACACUGGGACUGAGACACGGCCCAGACUCCUACGGGAGGCAGCAGUGGGGAAUUUUGGACAAUGGGCGCAAGCCUGAUCCAGCAAUGCCGCGUGAGUGAAGAAGGCCUUCGGGUUGUAAAGCUCCUUUGUCAGGGAAGAAACGGCUGAGGUUAAUACCUUUGGCUAAUGACGGUACCUGAAGAAUAAGCACCGGCUAACUACGUGCCAGCAGCCGCGGUAAUACGUAGGGUGCAAGCGUUAAUCGGAAUUACUGGGCGUAAAGCGUGCGCAGGCGGUUUUGUAAGUCUGACGUGAAAUCCCCGGGCUCAACCUGGGAAUUGCGUUGGAGACUGCAAGGCUGGAGUCUGGCAGAGGGGGGUAGAAUUCCACGUGUAGCAGUGAAAUGCGUAGAGAUGUGGAGGAACACCGAUGG
rnacentral:rRNA from 1 species